rnacentral:rRNA from 1 species
AUUGAACGCUGGCGGCAGGCUUAACACAUGCAAGUCGAACGAGUGGCGGACGGGUGAGUAAUGUCUGGGAAACUGCCCGAUGGAGGGGGAUAACUACUGGAAACGGUAGCUAAUACCGCAUACCAUUGGAUCUGCCCAUCUGGGAUUAGCUAGUAGGUGGUGUAACGGCUCACCUAGGCGACGAUCCCUAGCUGGUCUGAGAGGAUGACCAGCAACCCGGGAACUGAGACACGGUCCAGACUCCUACGGGAGGCAGCAGUGGGGAAUAUUGCACAAUGGGCGCAAGCCUGAUGCAGCCAUGCCGCGUGUAUGAAGAAGGCCUUCGGGUUGUAAAGUACUUUCAGCGAGGAGGCGUUACUCGCAGAAGAAGCACCGGCUAACUCCGUGCCAGCCGCCGCGGUAAUAC